rnacentral:rRNA from 1 species
CCUACGGGAGGCAGCAGUGGGGAAUAUUGCACAAUGGGGGAAACCCUGAUGCAGCGACGCCGCGUGGGCGAAGAAGUAUUUCGGUAUGUAAAGCCCUAUCAGCAGGGAAGAAGAAAUGACGGUACCUGAGUAAGAAGCACCGGCUAAAUACGUGCCAGCAGCCGCGGUAAUACGUAUGGUGCAAGCGUUAUCCGGAUUUACUGGGUGUAAAGGGAGCGCAGGCGGCACGGCAAGCCUGAUGUGAAAGCCCGGGGCCUAACCGCGGGACUGCAUUGGGAACUACCGGGCUGGAGUGCCGGAGAGGUAGGCGGAAUUCCUAGUGUAGCGGUGAAAUGCGUAGAUAUUAGGAGGAACACCAGUGGCGAAGGCGGCCUACUGGACGGUGACUGACGCUGAGGCUCGAAAGCGUGGGGAGCAAACAGGAUUAGAUACCCGAGUAGUC